ensembl:lncRNA novel transcript, antisense to WDR81
UGGCUCUUCCAAAGGAUUUAUUGGUCCUAUUUACAUCUAUUGCAAAUUGUGAGAAGGCAGCAGGGGCCAACCCCUGGACCUCAUCUCUGUCUAGAAUGUGAGGUCGCAGGGAUGCUUAAGUCUUCCUCUGGCAGAGACCCGAGGUGCAGAGAUGAUUCUUCUCACCCCUUCUCUCAGGGUCGUGGAGCCCCAGCAGGGGUUCAGGGCCCAGAGGCUGCCCCCUCAGCUGAAGGCACAAACACUGUGGUAGGGGUGGGCAGACAACGCAUGGACUCACUCCUGGCAGGCGCCACUGGGGCCUCCUCAUUCUCGUCCUCCUCGGGCCUCUCAUAAGCACUCAGGUCCAGUCGCAGCUCGCUGCAAAGCUUCUCAUCCACUGCGAUGUGAUACAAAGACAGGGCCCCACACGCCAGCCCCUGGCGGUGACAGGCGUCCAUAGCCCUCAGCACGCGGAAGAGA